AGUGAACGCUGGCGGCAGGCCUAACACAUGCAAGUCGAGCGGCAGCGCGGGGGCAACCCUGGCGGCGAGCGGCGGACGGGUGAGGAAUUCGUCGGAAUCUGCCUAUCUGUGGGGGAUAACGUAGGGAAACUUACGCUAAUACCGCAUACGUCCUACGGGAGAAAGUGGGGGACCGCAAGGCCUCACGCAGAAAGAUGAGCCGACGACCGAUUAGCUAGUUGGUGGGGUAAAGGCCCACCAAGGCGACGAUCGGUAGCUGGUCUGAGAGGAUGAUCAGCCACACUGGGACUGAGACACGGCCCAGACUCCUACGGGAGGCAGCAGUGGGGAAUAUUGGACAAUGGGCGCAAGCCUGAUCCAGCCAUGCCGCGUGGGUGAAGAAGGCCUUCGGGUUGUAAAGCACUUUUGUCCGGAAAGAAAAGCCUGAGGCUAAUACCUUCGUGUGAUGACGGUACCGAAAGAAUAAGCACCGGCUAACUUCGUG
rnacentral:rRNA from 1 species